rnacentral:tRNA from 1 species
GGAGGUAGGUGGCUAUUGAGUGGCAGAGCAUCUGCUUAGCAUGCAGAAAGUCCCAGGUUCGAUCCUUGGCAUCUUCA